rnacentral:rRNA from 1 species
UGGGGAAUAUUGCACAAUGGGCGCAAGCCUGAUGCAGCAACGCCGCGUGAACGAUGAAGGUCUUCGGAUCGUAAAGUUCUGUUGCAGGGGAAGAUAAUGACGGUACCCUGUGAGGAAGCCCCGGCUAACUACGUGCCAGCAGCCGCGGUAAUACGUAGGGGGCUAGCGUUAUCCGGAUUUACUGGGCGUAAAGGGUGCGUAGGUGGUCUUUCAAGUCGGUGGUUAAAGGCUACGGCUCAACCGUAGUUAGCCUCCGAAACUGGAAGACUUGAGUGCAGGAGAGGAAAGUGGAAUUCCCAGUGUAGCGGUGAAAUGCGUAGAGAUUAGGAAGAACACCGGUGGCGAAGGCGACUUUCUGGACGACAACUGACGCUUAGGCGCGAAAGCGUGGGGAGCAAACAGG